CCUACGGGGGGCAGCAGUGAGGAAUAUUGGUCAAUGGGCGGGAGCCUGAACCAGCCAAGUCGCGUGAGGGAGGACGGCACAGUGGGUUGUAAACCUCUUUUGCCGGGGAGCAAAGAGCCGCACGCGUGCGCGGAGGAGAGUACCCGGAGAAAAAGCAUCGGCUAACUCCGUGCCAGCAGCCGCGGUAAUACGGAGGAUGCGAGCGUUAUCCGGAUUUAGUGGGUUUAAAGGGUGCGCAGGCGGACGCUUAAGUCAGCGGUAAAAGUGCGGGGCUCAACCCCGGCGAGCCGUUGAAACUGGGAGCCUUGAGUGGGCGAGAAGUACGCGGAAUGCGCGGUGUAGCGGUGAAAUGCAUAGAUAUCACGCAGAACUCCGAUUGCGAAGGCAGCGUGCCGGCACCCCACUGACGCUGAGGCACGAAGGCGUGGGUAUCGAACAGGAUUAGAUACCCCUGUAGUC
rnacentral:rRNA from 1 species